GGCCCAGGCGCGUGGGCGCUGCCGAGAGGCUGGGAGCCCGGGAACCGGUUCCUGGACUUGAGCGGAGCGAGAAAGAGCGCGCCGCCUGCACGACUGGACUGGAGCGGCCGGGUGCCCUGGAGGCCCCUGGGAAUUGCAGUCCUUGCGCAGGUGGAGAGUGAGCCCUUGUAAGCGGGUGACUUCAUCAAGUUUGGGGGGUCUCUUGUGGAAUUGUACCUGAAGGGCGGUGCUGGCGGACAGAUGUCAGGGAAAUUCUGGCCUUGUCCAUGGCCUGUGGUAACACUUCUCCAUGAGUUCUAUUUUCCAAUUACCUCUUCCCAGACCUGAUGAGAGGGCCACAGCUAAGGAAGACGGUCCCUUCCACGAAAAAAUAUUCCCCAACCACUAGCCUGUACAAUUCCUGGGGCGUAGGGGGAGGGGAGGAGAAAAAAGAAUUCUAAGGUUAAUUUUAUUGCGAUGGGGGAAAUAGGGGUUGGUGUUUUUUUGUUGUUGUUAUUUUUUAUUUUAUUUAUUUAUUUGAGACGGAGUCUUGCUCUGUCGCCCAGGCUGGAGUGCAGUGGCGCGAUCUUGGCUCACUGCAAGCUCCGCCUCCCGGGUUCACGCCAUUCUCCUGCCUCAGCCUCCUGAGUAGCUGGGACUAGAGGCGCCCGCCACCACGCCCGGCUAAUUUUUUUUUUUUGGUAGGAGACACGGCGUUUCACCAUAUUAGCCAGGAUGGUCUCGAUCUCCUGACCUCGUGAUCCGCCCGUCUCGGCCUCCCAAAGUGCUGGGUUUACAGGCGCCCGGCCGAUUAUUUUUUAUUUUUUUUUUGAGACAUGGUGGCCAACAUGGUGAAACCCUGUCUCUAUUAAAAAUACAAAAAGGUUAGCUGGGCGUGGUGGCGGGCGCCUGUAGUCCCCACUACUCAGGAGGCAGGAGAAUCGUUUGAACCCGGGAGGCAGAGGUUGCAAUAAGCUGAGAUUGUGCCACUGCACUCUAGCCUGGGCGACAGAGUGAGACUCCGUCUCAAAAAAAAAAUUAAUUAAAAAUAAAUUUAUCUCACUAUCAAUUUUGCAGGAUAUUGAUUGAUCCAGUCUCUCAAUACUUUUAUAAAAUAGCUUAAUCCUAGUCUCUCCAAGAAAAAUUGUUGUUCAACUGUGUAGUACCAUAGUAACAGUUCUCAGAUUCUCAGAUUAUUAAAUUUGUUUCUCCAAGAUAUAGUAUCCUUGAAAAUGCGCAUUGACACCCCCAUGGCUGGGGGAUAUAUUAUCUUUUUUCCUUCAAAGUGCCAUUGAUAAUUACUGCACGUAGGAGCUAUGGAUAAAAAUAGUUAUCAUUUGUUGAAUGUCUACUACGUGUCUAGAACUAUGCCAGGAACUUAAUGAAAUUGUCUUAUUUAGUCUUCACAGUUGCUCCACAAGGGAUUGUAUUAAUGUCAUUAUCUUGAUUUUACAGAUGAGAAAACUCAAGACUCAGAAACAAUAAAGGUUACAGAGAUGAAAUUGACAGAGCCUGAAUUUCAGGUUAUGAUUCUGUAUGGUUUCUUUGGUGCUGCAUUAGACCUGAGCUCUGAUUGAAAAUUCUUCCACGCUCGCUACAUUCCAAAACUUUAUCUCCAAUAUGAAUUUCCAGAUGCCUCACAAGGUCUGAGCUCCAUCUGAAGGCUUUCCCAUGCUUGUCACAUUCAUAGGGCUUUUCUCCACUAUGAAUUCUAUGAUGUCGAAUAAAGUGUGAGCUCUGAUUACAAGUCUUUGAACAUUCAUUGCAUUCACAAAGUUUCUUUCCACUGUGAAUUCUUUGAUGCUGAAUAAGUUGUGAGCUCCCCUUCAAAUCUUUCCCACACCCAAUGCAUUUAUAAGGCCUCUCUCUCACCUUGUAUGGAUUCUCUGAUGUU
rnacentral:lncRNA from 1 species